CUGUAAGUUCUAGAAUUCUUAAUCAUAGCUUUGAAAUUAUUAAGGUAUUUUGAUUGAAAAUUAUAUUAAAACUUUGAUGGAGAAAAUUAAUAUUUCUUUCUCUUUUUACGUAAGCCUUCUGGGAAAUAAUAGAUGGACAAUUAGUCCUGAGGGUGGCAUUCAUCUCCAAAGGACAAGCACUAAAGAGGCAACAGGGUUUCAACGCAGAAAGCGACUUAAGAGAUUUUACACCGCAGAGCAAUAACGCCAACGCCCAUGAUGCAACACGGCCUGUGCUGGUUAGAAAGGUUUCCAUAUACAACAAGAAUGCCUGGAAAAGUAAAAUAAAAAGAAACUUUGACGAAAUUGAUAAGGCUUCCGUCAGUUUUGGUAUACUUAAUCCUCUGGUAUAGUUAUAAAUAUUUUAACUUUUAACUAGACUUACUAGCUCAAAAAUAACUUACUCAAAUUUGCUUUGUGUAAGGGGAAAAUUAUAAUAAAAAUAAUGCUCAAUACUUAGGAAAAUUAAUCAAAAAUGUUUAGAUAUAAAGCGAUACUAAUAAAAACAAGUACAAUUGUUAAUAA